UCUCCGUAGGUGAACCUGCGGAGGGAUCAUUACUGAGUGAGGGCUCCGGCCCGACCUCCAACCCCAUGUUGUCCGACUCUGUUGCCUCGGGGGCGAACCGGCCCUCCUGGGCGUCGGGGCCCCCGGUGGACCACCCAACCCUGCAUCGUUGCGUCUGAGUCGAAAUAUAAAUCAAUCAAAACUUUCAACAACGGAUCUCUUGGUUCUGGCAUCGAUGAAAACGCAGC
rnacentral:misc_RNA from 1 species